rnacentral:rRNA from 1 species
UACGUAGGGGGCUAGCGUUGUCCGGAUUUAUUGGGCGUAAAGAGCGUGUAGGCGGCCAGAUAGGUCUGCUGUGAAAACUCGAGGCUCAACCUCGAGCUGUCGGCGGAAACCAUCCGGCUAGAGUCCGGAAGAGGAGAGUGGAAUUCCCGGUGUAGCGGUGAAAUGCGCAGAUAUCGGGAAGAACACCGAUGGCGAAGGCAGCUCUCUGGGACGGUACUGACGCUGAGACGCGAAAGCGUGGGGAGCGAACAGG